GACGAACGCUGGCGGCGUGCUUAACACAUGCAAGUCGAACGGUAAGGCCCUUUCGGGGGUACACGAGUGGCGAACGGGUGAGUAACACGUGGGUGAUCUGCCCUGCACUUUGGGAUAAGCCUGGGAAACUGGGUCUAAUACCGGAUAGGACUACGCGAUGCAUGACGUGUGGUGGAAAGCUUUUGCGGUGUGGGAUGGGCUCGCGGCCUAUCAGCUUGUUGGUGGGGUGAUGGCCUACCAAGGCGACGACGGGUAGCCGGCCUGAGAGGGUGUCCGGCCACACUGGGACUGAGAUACGGCCCAGACUCCUACGGGAGGCAGCAGUGGGGAAUAUUGCACAAUGGGCGCAAGCCUGAUGCAGCGACGCCGCGUGGGGGAUGACGGCCUUCGGGUUGUAAACCCCUUUCAGCACAGACGAAGCGUAAGUGACGGUAUGUGCAGAAGAAGCACCGGCCAACUACGUG
rnacentral:rRNA from 1 species